GCGAGACGGUGGCCCAUCGGUCGAGCGCGACCGAUAAACUGUUCUCGGACGGCGCCGGGCUGCAGCCCUCGCGUCGUCCGCAAAUGAUCAGCCAGCAGCCGCUGCAACCCCAGGGAG
rnacentral:sRNA from 1 species